AUUGAACGCUGGCGGCAUGCUUUACACAUGCAAGUCGAACGGUAACAGCACUUCGGUGGCUGACGAGUGGCGAACGGGUGAGUAAUGUAUCGGAACGUGCCCAGUAGUGGGGGAUAACUACUCGAAAGAGUGGCUAAUACCGCAUGAGAUCUCUGGAUGAAAGCGGGGGACCUAAGGCCUCGCGCUACUGGAGCGGCCGAUAUCAGAUUAGGUUGUUGGUGGGGUAAAGGCCUACCAAGCCUGCGAUCUGUAGCUGGUCUGAGAGGACGACCAGCCACACUGGGACUGAGACACGGCCCAGACUCCUACGGGAGGCAGCAGUGGGGAAUAUUGGACAAUGGGCGAAAGCCUGAUCCAACCAUGCCGCGUGAGUGAUGAAGGCCUUCGGUGUAAAGCUCUUUCGACGGGGAAGAGUAAUAGACCGUACCCGUAGAAGAAGCCACGGCGUAACUUACGUGCCAGCACGACCGCGGUAAACCUGUGGUCGU
rnacentral:rRNA from 1 species